AACGGCUGAACCAGCAAUUUGGAAGAAUGAAGUUUGAUAUAUUAAUCUCUAGAUAUAUACGCAUCGACUACGUCGUGUAAAGUUCUAAAUAGAAGAUUGAUGAUGACAAAUUUCUAUUUAUGUGUCUCGACCAACUCUUGUGCCAGCAGUCGCGGCAACACAAGUGAGACUAGUGUUAUUCAUCUUGAUUAGGUAUAAAGGGUACCUAGACGGUAAUUUCAGCCUACAGCAGGGACAAAAUUACUAGAGUUUUAUAUGAGAGGAUUAUGUGAGUACCUUUGGUGUAAAGAUGAAAUUUUUUCAUACUACUGGGACUGAUAAGGGCGAAAGCAAUACUCUAUCUAGAAACUGACGUUAAGGGACGAAGGCUUGGGGCGCGAACAGGAUUAGAUACCCUAGUAGUCCAGGCAGAAAAUUAUGAAUGUUAUAGACUAAGUUGGAAUGAUUGGUGUAUAAAUGAAAGUGUAAGCAUUCCACCUCAAGAGUACUGUGGCAACGCUGGAACUGAAAUCAUUAGACCGUUUGUGAAACCAGUAGUGAAGUAUGUUAUUU
rnacentral:rRNA from 1 species